GCUCUGCAGAACUAGAUUGGAGUGGUCAUCCCACCGGUACACCUGGAAAACACAAACAGCAUCAUCAGGCAGGCACAUGCACUGCACUCAGAAGCAAUAGCUGUUUAUUUAUGUGCAAAGCCACACAUGUGGAUAACUCAUUCCCACAAGAAUUCUGCUUGCUUCCAGAAGCUGAGGCUGAGAAAAGCUGGUAUUGUACAGAAGUCCAAGCAGAAACCGGAGGAUGGAGAAGGUAGGAGGAAGAAUAAAUAUGGCAGAGGAUAAACCACACUUCUGUGGCAACUAUGAUCAAGGACAGUGGGGGAACAGACAAUAAGUAACAACUUGCAGCCCCCUCUCCCGAAUCAGACUCAUGGGGACAGUUAUUGGAUUGAACCAAAACCAUAUUCCCUCUCAUCCCUGGAAACUGGCUGAUCAUUUCCCUCUAAUAUUCUGUAAUACCACCAUCACGCCUAACAAGAUUACACCAGAAUAUAAGAUUUGCCAGAGAUCCCUAUUUACGGAGCUGGAUGUUGAGUCAGCAGCAUAAUCCUGACCGCAAAUACUCCCGACAACUUGUGCUCCUGAAAUCCUUGUUGCCACGUAGAACUGCUGCUCCUUCAGAAAUCAGGCAUGGAACCAUCACCCCUGGCACUGGAUGGACUCGAAUACAUUAACAUAUUUGAGCCACUUAGCAAGUCCAUUCAGGGAGCAACUUACAGGAGCUGAGAGCUGCACAUUCCAAAACCAAGACUAAUUUUACACUUAACGUGAACAUCUCUCUCAAGCUAUUUAUAUUCUCUAGAACAGCUUUAGCAUUAUCUAGUAAUUCUAAGUUUAACAGAUAGUGACAGCUGCUGUCUAAGCAAGAAAAUAAAACAAUGCUGUCAAGCUAAUUAAUUUUUAAUGUGAUGAAUUAUCAUUACAUUCAGACUAAACCAUUUAAGUGACAGACAGGACCAGCACUCAGGGAAAGAUUAGAUUGGUAGGGAUGCAUUUAAAAAUUAGUCCAAUUUAUCUUUUAUCAAUUGUAUUAGAGCAGUAUUUUAACUUCUUUUGGAUUCAAAGAUCUAAUUUCUCUCAGACUCUUAAUGCAGUACUGCUGCUCAUCAGUGGUGCAAAAGAAAAUGAGAUCUGGCUCAUUCAACUUUGAUAAGACAGACACAGGCACUGAAAAGUUUCUCUUUUCCGGAUGUUUUUGGCAGCACAAAGUCCUUGCUCUGCAGCUCCUGUUAUCCAGAGCUUGCACUGCAACAGAAAAGCAGCUUGCACUGGUAUGAAACACAGUGAACAUGGCAAUUACAGCUGAUAUUAACAUCUGAUAAAUCACCCUGAUGACCUGCAUAAAGAGCUGCCUAAGAUGGAUUUCUGAGAAUUCACAAAUAAAAACAAUGUAUUU